GCCUCUGGCUAUAGGAAAUUGUUAGUGGCAGACGGGUGAGUAAUGCGUAGGAAUCUACCUAGUAGUACGGAAUAGCCAUUAGAAAUGGUGGGUAAUACUGUAUAAUCCCCGAGGGGGAAAGAUUUAUCGCUAUUAGAUGAGCCUACGUUAGAUUAGCUAGUUGGUGAGGUAAUGGCUUACCAAGGCUAUGAUCUAUAGCUGGUCUGAGAGGACGAUCAGCCACACUGGAACUGAGGUACGGUCCAGACUCCUACGGGAGGCAGCAGUGGGGAAUAUUGGACAAUGGGCGAAAGCCUGAUCCAGCUAUGCCGCGUGAGUGAAGAAGGCCUUCGGGUUGUAAAACUCUUUCAAUAGGGAAGAUAAUGAC
rnacentral:rRNA from 1 species